rnacentral:tRNA from 1 species
AGGGUUGUGGCUCAGUGGUAGAGUGCUUACCUAGCAUGUAUGAGGCACUGGGUUCCAUUCUGAGCACCUUA